GACGAACGCUGGCGGCGCGCCUAACACAUGCAAGUCGAACGGAGCUGAGAGAAGCUUGCUUUUCUUAGCUUAGUGGCGAACGGGUGAGUAACGCGUGAGUAACCUGCCCUGGAGUGGGGGACAACAGUUGGAAACGACUGCUAAUACCGUAUAAGCCCACGAUCCGGCAUCGGAUUGAGGGAAAAGGAUUUAUUCGCUUCAGGAUGGACUCGCGUCCAAUUAGCUAGUUGGUGAGGUAACGGCCCACCAAGGCGACGAUUGGUAGCCGGACUGAGAGGUUGGACCGGCACAUUGGGACUGAGAAACGGCCCAGACUCCUACGGGAGGCAGCAGUGGGUGAUAUUGCACAAUGGGGGAAGCCCUGAUGCAGCGACGCCGCGUGGAGGAAGAAGGUUUUCGGAUUGUAAACUCCUGUCGUUAGGGACGAUAAUGACGGUACCUAACAAGAAAGCACCGGCUAACUACGUG
rnacentral:rRNA from 1 species